rnacentral:rRNA from 1 species
GACGAACGCUGGCGGCGUGCUUAACACAUGCAAGUCGAACGCUGAAGCUCAGCUUUUGUUGGGUGGAUGAGUGGCGAACGGGUGAGUAACACGUGAGUAACCUGCCCCCUUCUUUGGGAUAACGCCCGGAAACGGGUGCUAAUACUGGAUAUUCACUGGUCUUCGCAUGGGGGUUGGUGGAAAGGGUUGUUUUGGUGGGGGAUGGGCUCGGGGCCUAUCAGCUUGUUGGUGGCGUGAUGGCCUACCAAGGCUUUGACGGGUAGGCGGCCUGAUAGGGUGAACGGUCACAUUGAGACUGAGAUACGGCCCAGACUCGUACGGGAGGCAGCAGUGGGGAAUAUGGCACAAUGGGCGCACGCCUGAUGCAGCGACGCUGCGUGAGGGCUGGAGUCCUUCAGAUUGUGUACCUCUUUCGGUCAUGGUCAAGCCGCAACAAUGGUUGUGGUGAGGGUAGUGAGUAAAGAAGCGCCGGCUAACUACGUG